rnacentral:rRNA from 1 species
GACGAACGCUGGCGGCGUGCUUAACACAUGCAAGUCGAGCGGAGCGGCGGACGGGUGAGUAACGCGUGAGUAACUGCCCCCCUCUCUGGGAUCACAGUUGGAAACGGCUGCUAAUACCGGCAAGUGGGGGAUGACUCGCGUCCUAUCGGCUUGUUGGUGGGGUAGUGGCAUACCAAGGCGACGACGGGUAGCCGGCCUGGGAGGGCGACCGGGGACAAGGGUCUGCGAUACUGACCAAACUCGAACGGUAGGCAGCAGUGGGGAGUAUGGCACAAUGGGGGAAACCCUGAUGAAGCAAUCCGGGUUCGGGAUGACUGCCUUCGGGUUGUAAACAGCUUGCAGCCAUGACGCGGUAGUGGCAGAAGAAGCACCGGCUAACUACGUGCCAGCAGCCGCGGUAAUAC